UACGAACUGUGCAAACGUUAUUCGGAUUCACUGGGCUUAAAGGGUGCGUAGGCGGCCAUGUAAGUCGGGUGUGAAAUCCCCCGGCUUAACCGGGGAACUGCGCCCUAAACUGUAUGGCUGGAGUGAGAUAGGGGUGUGUGGAACUUCCGGUGGAGCGGUGAAAUGCGCAGAUAUCAGGAGGAACACCCGUAGCGAAGGCGGCACUCUGGGCCGAUACUGACACUGAGGAGCGAAAGCGUGGGGAGCGAACAGG
rnacentral:rRNA from 1 species